rnacentral:rRNA from 4 species
AACUUUCAGCAACGGAUCUCUUGGCUCUCGCAUCGAUGAAGAACGCAGCGAAAUGCGAUAAGUAAUGUGAAUUGCAGAAUUCAGUGAAUCAUCGAAUCUUUGAACGCACCUUGCACUCCUUGGUAUUCCGAGGAGUAUGCCUGUUUGAGUCUCAUG